CCUACGUGAGGCAGCAGUGAGGAAUAUUGGUCAAUGGGCGCGAGCCUGAACCAGCCAAGUAGCGUGAAGGAUGACUGCCCUACGGGUUGUAAACUUCUUUUAUAAAGGAAUAAAGUGAGGCACGUGUGCCUUUUUGUAUGUACUUUAUGAAUAAGGAUCGGCUAACUCCGUGCCAGCAGCCGCGGUAAUACGGAGGAUCCGAGCGUUAUCCGGAUUUAUUGGGUUUAAAGGGAGCGUAGAUGGGUUGUUAAGUCAGUUGUGAAAGUUUGCGGCUAAACCGUAAAAUUGCAAUUGAUACUGGCAGUCUUGAGUACAGUUGAGGUAGGCGGAAUUCGUGGUGUAGCGGUGAAAUGCUUAGAUAUCACGAAGAACUCCGAUUGCGAAGGCAGCUUACUAAACUGCCACUGACAUUGAUGCUCGAAAGUGUGGGUAUCAAACAGGAUUAGAGACCCCAGUAGUC
rnacentral:rRNA from 1 species